UUCUGCUUCUCUCGCGAAAGAAACAGAGCCUUUGAGAACCCCCUCCCAGUUUCCACGCCGCCGGCCCCUCCUCUCUCUUCCCCGGUGACCUCCAGACUUGAGUUGGGGAGCGCCCCCGCCCCCCUCGCCACUCCCUCCCCUUGUGUAGUCGCCACACUUGUCCUUCUAGAUCUGGCACAGCCCUCGUAGACGAAGAAGAUUGAGGCGAUUGCUACAAUGUCCAGGACCGCCAUGACUGCGCCCAGGUCUUUUGCUGGCGCGGAUGAUUUCUUCCGGUGGCGAGCUACUUGUUCUUGGCGGUGUCAGUGCCAACUGCCUUGAGCCACCGUGUUUGUUCUGACCCAUGAUCAUACCUCCAUAAGUUCUCUGUUUUCACCCAAGAAGUUGGUCAAAUUUUUGGAGUGUAGAUGUAUAUCAGAUCCGUGCAAAUGAGUUGUUGAAUUUAUGGUUUUUCCUAAACAUGUUUAGAAAUGAAUAUGUUGCGGAUCUGCAAAGUACCUCAUGAAGUGUAGGUUUAGCAUUCGUGAAAUUCACUGAACUCCACCCCCUCGGGUAGUUACUAGACUUUUUAUUCAAUGUCCAGACUGUUUCUUUCAUUGAGAUAUGUUUCAGAUUUUGUACUUGUGGAUUUGGUGCAAGGAAAAUAGAAUAGCAUGAUCAAGUGUUGCUUCA